GAGAGCCGUAUGCAUUGAAAGGUGCCCGUACGGUUCGGGAAGGGGCGAGGUCUUCUAGACUUCGCCUAUUUCAU
rnacentral:ncRNA from 1 species